GACGAACGCUGGCGGCGUGCUUAACACACGCAAGUCGAACGGUGAAGGGACCGGUUUUUGCUGGUUCUGGAUGAGUGGCGAACGGGUGAGUAACACGUGAGUAACCUGCCCCCUUCUUCUGGAUAACCGCAUGAAAGUGUGGCUAAUACGGGAUAUUCUGCGCCUGCUGCAUGGUGGGUGUGGGAAAGAUAUUGUUUCGGUGGGGGAUGGGCUCGCGGCCUAUCAGCUUGUUGGUGGGGUGAUGGCCUACCAAGGCGGUGACGGGUAGCCGGCCUGAGAGGGUGGACGGUCACACUGGGACUGAGACACGGCCCAGACUCCUACGGGAGGCAGCAGUGGGGAAUAUUGCACAAUGGGCGCAAGCCUGAUGCAGCGACGCCGCGUGAGGGAUGGAGGCCUUCGGGUUGUAAACCUCUUUCGCCAGUGAAGCAGGCCUGUCCCUUUUGUGGGUGGGUUGACGGUAGCUGGAUAAGAAGCGCCGGCUAACUACGUG
rnacentral:rRNA from 1 species